GCCCGGAUAGCUCAGUCGGUAGAGCAUCAGUCUUUUAAUCUGAGAGGCCAGGGUUCAAGUCCCUGUUCGGGCG
rnacentral:tRNA from 2 species